UUCGAUCCUGGCUCAGAUUGAACGCUGGCGGGAUACUACACAUGCAAGUCGAACAGCAGCACAGUUUCGGUCUGGUGGCGUGGCGACGGAACAUUAAUAUGGUUGUUACUGAUGGCGGAGAUGCUGCGAAAGCGUAGCUAUGCCGCAUACGCCCUUCGGGGAAAGCGGGGGACCUUCUGUGAAUACACUAUUAGAGCAGCCGAUAUCCGGAUUAGCUAGUUGGUGGGGUAACGGCUCACCAGGCGACGAUCCAUCCAGCUGGUUUUGAGAGGACGACCAGCCACCUGGGACUGAGACACGGCCCAGACUCCUACGGGAGGCAGCAGUGGGGAAUUUUGGACAAUGGGGGAAACCUGAUCAGCCAUCCCGCGUGUGCGAUGAAGGCCUUCGGGUUGUAAAGCACUUUUGGCAGGAAAAGAAACAGCACGGGAUAACACACCCGUGCAACUGACGUACCUGCAGAAUAAGCACCGGCUAACUACGUGCCAGCAGCUUGCGGUAAUACGUAGGUGCAAGCAUUAAUCAGGUUACUGGGCGUAAGCGUGCGCAGGCGGUUCGGAAAGAAAGAUGUGAAAUCCGAGCUUAACUUUGGAACUGCAUUUUAACUACCGAGCUAGAGUGUGUCAGAGGGAGGUGGAAUUCCGCGUGUAGCAGUGAAAUGCAGCAAUGCGGAGGAACACCAAAUGGCGAAAACGGCAUCACGGAUAACACUGACGCUCAUGCAACUUGUCAAGAGGAGGCUCAAACAGAGUUAGAUACCCUGGUAGUCCACGCCUAAACGAUGUCAACUAACUGUUGGGGCCUUCGGGCCUUGGUAGCGCAACUAACGCGUGAAGUUGACCGCCUGGGGCUGGUCGCAAGAUUGAAACUCAAAGGAAUUGACGGGGACCCGCACAAGCGGUGGAUGAUGUGGAUUAAUUCGAUGCAACGCGAAAAACCUUACCUACCCUUGACAUGUCUGGAAUCCGAAGAUUUAGGAGUGCUCGCAAGAGAACCGGAACACAGGUGCUGCAUGGCUGUCGUCAGCUCGUGUCGUGAGGAUGUUGGGUUAAGUCCCGCAACGAGCGCAACCCUUGUCGUUAGUUGCUACGAAGAGGGCACCUCUAUGCAAGAUGCCGGUGACAAACCGGAGGAAGAUGAGAUGACGUCAGAGUCCUCAUGGCCCCACUAUGGUGAGGCUUCACACGUCAUACAAUGGUCGGGACAGAGGUCGCCAACCCGCGAGGGGUAAUCCCAGAAACCCGAUCGUAGUCGGAUCUGCAGUGCAACUCGACUGCGUGAAGUCGGAAUCGCUAAAUAAUCGCGGAUCAGCAUGUCGCGGUGAAUACGUUCCCGGGUCUUGUACACCGCCCGUCACACCAUGGAGUGGUUUACCAGAAGUAGUUAGCUAACAUCAGGAGGGCGAUUACCACGGUAGGAUUCAUGACUGGGGUGAAGUCGUAACUCAGGUAG
rnacentral:rRNA from 1 species